rnacentral:rRNA from 1 species
CAUGCCGUAAACGUUGGGUGCUAGACGUGGGGGCCUUUCCACGGUUUCCGUGUCGUAGCUAACGCAUUAAGCACCCCGCCUGGGGAGUACGGCCGCAAGGCUAAAACUCAAAGGAAUUGACGGGGACCCGCACAAGCAGCGGAGCAUGUGGUUUAAUUCGAUGCAACGCGAAGAACCUUACCAAGGCUUGACAUCCCUCUGAAGUAUAUAGAGAUAUAUACGGCUUUUAGGAGACAGAGGAGACAGGUGG